CGGAGUCGGCCUGAGAGGUCUCUCGUCGCUGCAGGCGCCUCAGCCCAGCCGCGUGCCUUGGCCCAUGGCCGCCUACUCUUACCGCCCCGGCCCUGGGGCCGGCCCUGGGCCUGCUGCAGGCGCGGCGCUGCCGGACCAGAGCUUCCUGUGGAACGUUUUCCAGAGGGUCGAUAAAGACAGGAGUGGAGUGAUAUCAGACACCGAGCUUCAGCAAGCUCUCUCCAACGGAUGAAGCCCCACCCGCCCUUCAGGAUGCCAGCCUUGGCAACAUUGUGAGACCCUGUUUCUACAAAAAGUAAAUGAGUGUAGUGGUGCACGCCUGUAUUCCCAGCUACUUGGGAGGCUGAGAUGGGAAGAUCACUUGAGCCUGGGAGGUUGAGGCUGCAUUGAGCUGAGAUCAAGCCACGGCACUCCAGCCUGGGAGACAGAGCGAAACCCCAUCUCAAAAAAACAAAGAAAGUGGAUGCGCGCUGCUCCUGCCAUUGGAUCAUCGCAGCAUUUUUCUUUUCUCUGAUAUGCACCUUUUUCCUCAUCGUGGGGGCUCACGUUUUCAUAGUUCCCUCUCACUACUAGGUUGUGAGCUGCGUGAAGGAAGGUUCAUAGUUGUGUUGUAUGUACAGGCACACAAAAUUUGUCCUUGGAUAAACACAUAUCCUCUUCCUUCUUCUCUCUGAAUUUCUUUAUUUUAAGAAAAAAAUUAGAGAUGGAGUCUCACUGUCUUGCUCAGGCUGGUCUCAAACUCCUAGGCUCAAGUGAUCCUCCUGCCUCAGCCUAUACUAAUAUGAAUUCCUAUACUAAUAUGAUUGAAAUUAGUUUGAUUUCUAUAAUAAUUGUGCUCCCAGAUUGGGCUUCUGUUUUGAUAGUAGAACUAAAUUAUUAGGCUAUUUCAAGAAAUUAAUAUAUUACUGGUAGAAAAACUGAAGCUACAAAAUGGCCUGGUUUCUCACUUCAGUUAAAUUUGUGCUUCUGAGUGCUUGUAUUCUAGGUGAAACCACACUGAGAAGGUAUUUGUGGCCCAUACACUGAUUCCUUCAUGAGACUUGUUUGCACAGGAGAGCUGCUAAAAAUUACUGCUCUCAGGGAGGUCUGUGGUGAACAGGUAUGAAGAAGAAGACUGUUCUCUGCCCUUCUUUUUGCAAUAAAAUGUUCCAAACUA
rnacentral:lncRNA from 10 species